CAGGCCUGUCGCUCCAUAAUCCCCAUACCUAAACAGAGAAAAGUUCGCACUUCUCCCCCUCUCGCACGCGCCUCGCCGCCGCCGCAUCGCAUCCCCUCGUCGUCGCAGCCGCUACCUCCUCCGCUUAGUCGCCUCCCCCCCACCCCGGCACCCCCACCUCUCCUCUCCGCCUCGCUGUUGCCUCUUCCAUGAUGUCCCUAGUGAGAGCACGGCGAGGGCAUCUCCUCAGACCUCACACAUGCCGGCGAGCCGCCAUCUGCUCCUCGUCGUUGCUGGAUGGGGAGGAAGAACUCGGUGACCUCCUCGGCGCCCACGCCGUCGCCGAACGCCGAUGAGGUCCAGCAGGAGAUGGCCGUGGGCCGCUCGGCGUCGGCCAGGAUCCGCGACCGGGCGUCUCGUUCGCUGCUGGGGCAGGAGCCAUACAUGACAAUGUAACUUAUUCUUCUCAUGAUUUUGCUGGGUGAAUAGCAAAUGAUUUUGCUUUUUUGCUCCAGUAAAUGGGAAAAUUGCUCUGGUUACUGAGCAAUUAGGGAGUUGAUCUGGUUGAUUUUGUUUUGGUGGAACAUAGAAGAAGCUGUCGGUGGAAGAGAAGUGCUUUUCACUGCAUAGUAGCUGAUUUAUGCUAGAUUUAUGAGCGCGCAGCUGUUCUUGAGUUUUGGCCCUCUUGUUCAGCUAUUCAUUCAGAAGCUGUCACCGAAGAAAGUUGUUGAGCUUAGACUCACUGAUUUAUAAGCACAUUGCUCUGGGAAAAUUUAUAAGCACAUAGCGCCUCCUCUGCUCCUCACAUUGCUCUGGUAAAAUUUAUAAACAUAAAAUUUAUAAGCUUCCUGUUUAGCAAGCAGACUCAUCGGUGUGUCACAUUCAGAAGAUACCAGCACAUUCCAACUGGAACCUAGAUCUGUUGGCCUAUUGCAUCAUGUACAGGCAAGUCUGAAAACUAAAUAAGGGUAAAACCGUCUUUUCUCCUCUAGUUAACACCAUCAAGUGUAAAAACUAAUGGAAGUGCUACAUAGGGAAGGGAAAUUUUGAGGGUGCAUAGAUAGAGAACUUUUGAAGUUUGGGUGGUAGAGAUAGAAGAACAACUUUUUUUUUAUACUACAUAGGGAAUUUUCUCUACAAUAUAUCAGUUUGCGAGGGGUACGGCGACGGAGAUAGUGGCAGGCCUGCUCAUUGGAGGACAGCACCUCACCGUCGUCAGAGCUCAUCGUUGCUGCCCAGCUCCUCCUACUCUCUAGGUCAGCCCAAACGGAUGAUUAUCGGCUCUGGGUUCUCUAUUCGGAGGCAAAUGCUGGCCAACAUUCAAAGAUUCAUCUGCUCGAUUUGGAGUACGAAACCACCUCGCCAUCACAGGCAUACUGCCUGCCAUGUGGACUUCGAUUAUAAAUCUACCUCGCCAUCGCGCCCAUACUGUUCGGUGUGGUGUCGAUGCUCCUGUUGAGAAGUAGCGCAAUUGGUUGGUUGCUUACUUAGGCUUAAUAUUGGGUUAAUGUAGAUAUGACCCUAUGGCCUUUUAUUGUCUUUAUUUUAAAAUAUAUAUAUAUAUUCUGAAAUACAGGAAGUAUAUUUUGUCCCAAACUAAAUACAUCACAGUAACAGCAUGGUUGCCUUUUUUCUUAGAUUAUUUUUUCUUCAACUCAACAUUAGGGAACUACCUGUUGGUAUUAAAAUUUUACACUAAUAAUUAAAUAAGUCAACUUAUAAAGCGAUUCAUAUAAGGAUGUAAUCUAACUCAAUUUAUUUAAAGAUUGUUUUGUGUUGCUCAAACCUACAAUUAUGAUGCAUUAAUAAUUUUGUACAAGAUCAUCGGCUUCAUGAUAUACACUUAUGUAAGACUUGUACAUAUCAAUGUAGUUUUUAAGACAUUUAUGAACUGUGUUUUGAAACAAUCAUGUUUUCAAAUUAUCACCUUGCAAUAAAUAACUAUUGCUACCUAGCAAGGUGAGAAUGUAUAGCCACCUCCUCAAGGAUGGUUAAAAAAAAGAUCCUUUUUACGGUUCUUGUAGAGCUACACAUCUGGUUUAAAUUUGUGGUAUCUGCUAUCAUCCAGGAGGUAUGAUACUAUGUACAUCUUCGAGGCCUGUAAAAAGGCUUUUUGUUUGUAAAUAAUCACCUUUUCUCUAUAGAAAUGUGAUACAUGCCUUAAUUUGUGUUUACUUGUACUGAUGAUAUCUGGUCUUUGUCUACCAGGAUUUUAUAGUAAUAAUGGUUAAUUAUUUGAUGAUUUCAUGUAAUGAUGGACUUAGUCAAUUGCGAGCUAUAAUAAGAUGCCAAAAAAUCCCUAUUUUUGAAAAUUCAUGAGGAAAGCACUUUCUAAUUUCUGACUCUUAACACGGUAUUUGUGAAAUUUCAGCUUUGAUCUGUUUGAGACCAAUUAAACUCUACUAGCAAAUUUCAUGCCUGAUGUCGACAUCAAGCUUCCAUCUGCUUUUGGAGUAACUGGUGGUCUUUUCUGAGCACGACUGAACCCACCAUUUGAUAAUUUUGAAAUCUUCCCUAUACAUCCGUUUGUGGAAGCAAAUGCUGAGGACUCCAGUGUUGGUGCUGGAUCAAAGGAAUAUGUGCACACGCUCAUUCAGUGUGGCACAACGGAAGAAAAAGACUGAUUAUUGUUCAAGGCUUGAAGAGAGAAUACAGCCAGAACAAAAUAUUCUAGGAUCUAGAAAAGGAAUUUGGCUGUAAUGUUACUGUGGUCCAUGAUUCAGAGCUAGGAGGUACAAAAUAGCACGUAUAUUGUGUUGUAUCCAAGUUGUUUGGUGUGAAUGUGUAUAAUAAUGAAUGGUCUGCUAUAUAUGUUUGUAGGUCAUUCAGAUUCAAGGUGAUCAACGUAAAAAUGUUUUGAUAUUUCAGUACUUUGAAAUACAUUUCCUUGCAGUACAAUUUGACAAGUGUAA